GCCUGCAUGGUGCAGUGGUUUGAGCAAUGGACUACAACUCUGGAGAUCAGGGUUCAAAUCUCUGCUCAGCCA
rnacentral:tRNA from 1 species